rfam:Aedes aegypti strain Liverpool supercont1.589 genomic scaffold, whole genome shotgun sequence.
CCUCUCAUGGGGUAGUGGUUAAACGCGCCCCCAACUAGAGAUCGGGGAGUCGUGAGUUCGAUUCUCACUGAGAAGA